GACGAACGCUGGCGGCGUGCUUAACACAUGCAAGUCGAGCGGUAAGGCCCUUUCGGGGGUACACGAGCGGCGAACGGGUGAGUAACACGUGGGUGACCUGCCCUCAGCUCUGGGAUAAGCCUGGGAAACUGGGUCUAAUACUGGAUAUGACUCCACGGUGCAUGUCGUGGGGUGGAAAGCCUUGUGCGGCUGAGGAUGGGCCCGCGGCCUAUCAGCUUGUUGGUGGGGGAUGGCCUACCAAGGCGACGACGGGUAGCCGGCCUGAGAGGGCGACCGGCCACACUGGGACUGAGACACGGCCCAGACUCCUACGGGAGGGCAGCAGUGGGGAAUCUUGCGC
rnacentral:rRNA from 1 species